UCUCGGCUUAUCACCGGCAGUCCCCCUAGAGUGCCCAACUGAAUGAUGGCAACUAAGGGCGAGGGUUGCGCUCGUUGCGGGACUUAACCCAACAUCUCACGACACGAGCUGACGACAGCCAUGCAGCACCUGUGCACAGGCCCCGAAGGGAAGGUGACUUUCAUCACCGGUCCUGCACAUGUCAAACCCAGGUAAGGUUCCUCGCGUUGCGUCGAAUUAAACCACAUGCUCCACCGCUUGUGCGGGCCCCCGUCAAUUCCUUUGAGUUUCAGCCUUGCGGCCGUACUCCCCAGGCGGGGCACUUACUGCGUUAGCUUCGGCACUGCAGGGGUCGAUACCCGCAACACCAAGUGCCCAUCGUUUACAGCUAGGACUAC
rnacentral:misc_RNA from 1 species